rnacentral:misc_RNA from 1 species
UUACGAUGAAAAUAGUGGUUUUAAUCACUGAACAUAUGCAAACGCUAUUUUUCAUCGCUGGAAUGGCAACCCUUUAUUUUUGCUUUGUAAAAGUGUCAUUGCGUGAACUGUCAAAUUGUUGUGAGUUAAUAACGUAUGGACAUGUGAUGUGCAAGAUGAAUCGCAAAGGAAUACGCUCACCGACGAAGAACAGGUUAAUAAGUAGCUAUUUCCAAAAGGAGCUACCUGCACAAAAUUCAGAUCCAGAAAAUGAAGGUUUUGUCAAUUGACUUUUACAGUGGCAGAUGCAGUUCAUCUUCAAGUGAUUCGUCUCCUCAAAAAGAAAGGACUUGUCUAGACAAUUGUAUUUCUUCUUCGGAAUCUGACGACCAUGAGCCUGCAGCGACUUUUCCAUCACGACAAAAAAAAUAUAAACAACAUUUCAGAGAGGAAUGGAAGCGUGAUUUAAGUUGGCUAGAUAACAUCAAAGGCAAAGCAUUUUGCAAAAUUGGCCAAAAAUAUCUCUCUAACAAUAAAACAAAUAUUGAAAGACAUGGCUAUGGUGAGUCACAUAAAAAAAAUGAAUGCACAUUGAAGCAGCAGCCGAAAAUAAACCAAAAUAAAAAAGUGCAAGCAUUUGAAUCGAAAAUUCGAAAAAUAAAAAUUGCGGAGCUGAAAA